rnacentral:rRNA from 1 species
AUCUCAGUUCAGACUGCAGGCUGCAACUCGCCUGCACGAAGUCGGAAUUGCUAGUAAUCGUAGGUCAGCAUACUACGGUGAAUACGUUCCCGGGCCUUGUACACACCGCCCGUCAAACCAUGAGAGUUGGCAACACCCGAAGUCGGUAGUCUAACCGCAAGGAGGACGCCGCCGAAGGUGGGGUCGAUGAUUAGGGUUAAGUCGUAACAAGGUACC